rnacentral:rRNA from 1 species
AGAGUUUGAUCCUGGCUCAGAAUCAACGCUGGCGGCGUGCCUAACACAUGCAAGUCGAACGAGAAAGUGGAGCAAUCCAUGAGUACAGUGGCGACCGGGUGAGUAACACGUGACUACCUACUCGAGUGGGGAACAACCUAGGGAAACCUGGGCUAAUACCGCAUAACAUCGAGAGAUCAAAGGAGCAAUCCGCUUGAGGA